GACUCCUCCGUCCCUGUCGUCCGCGAUCAGCACCAUCGAACCCCGAGCGAGCGCCGCCUGGCAUAGGACGAGCCGCGUCUUCCGGGAUGGAUCCUCGUCCGACCUUUUUUCGGCCCGAAAGCUCACGUUCCGUUGCUCGGCUCCCUCCAGCCGCCCGCGUCUUGUCCAGGUGUUCCUCGUUGUCUCGUCAAUUAGUUUUGUAUUUAUUUCCCUGCUUUCUUUCAUGCGUCUGUGUGUUUCUCAAACAUUGUUUCCUUAUCAUGUUAAUUCGUGGUCAGUGUUUUGGUUUCCUUGUUUCUAUGUUACAUUGAUUAUAGAUUUUUGGACUUUGCAUCUUGUUUGCCAUCUUUGUUUUGGUAAAUAAAUCCUUUUUGGGGGGGGGGGAUUCCGGCACUCCCUGCUUCGCUGCAAUUGGCUCCUUCACUUCAUUGCCUCCAUCUCCUUGAAAACCCGACCCUGACAGAACGGAGCAACCGCGAAAGGACCCAGCAGGAAGCACACGGUGCCACCCCGCACGCCGCCUGUCUGCCUCGCAGCGCCCUCGGCCUCCCCUCCCCCAUUUUCCCAAAGCAGUUGGUGUCAGAAGUGGGAUUCUAGGAUUGAUCACCGAUCCAGGGGGGAGUGAUUGAUCAUCCAGGACCAACGCACGAGUCCUGCCUCCACCCAAAGAAUUCAGGACGGGGGGGCUGCCGGGGCUCAGGAUCCAAAACGGACCUGUUGUCCUCCAAACAAGCAAUUACGUGCUAUUAGUCAUUGCUCUCCCCACUUUCCAUUGGUGGAGAAGAUGUGGAAAAGAAGGGACUUUGGAUCAGAGAAUGUCUGAAGGAAAACAAAUAAAAGGCUUUUUUUGCGCGAUCGAUGGUGGGGGACCAAGUUCGUCCGACCUCUGGCUGACUCCCGGCGGGCCCCAGAGACAGAGCGACGCUGAACUGGUAAUACACAGACACACCACAACUUGCACCCAACACUCGCUCUUUUGUGCAAUGAAGACGCACAUUGCUUUGCUUAAGCUAGUUAUUUAAUUGAGUCACCACUGGACAUUCAUUUACACACUUAUGGAGUUAAUGUAUGCAACUAUGAAGUAUAAUUGAUAGAUCCCUUUUGAAGGAGAAUAUAUUGACAGAAUGAUCUGGAUCUCUCAGCGCUGUUGGUUGUUAUGUUCUUUUGUUUGUUGUCAUAACAACAAAAGACGUGGGAUAACGAAUUGAAAAUUGAACGAGCUGCAAUGUAGAAUUAUUACUUCUAAUUGUCUGAGGAUGUAGUCCCCGCGUUCGAUGUUGUAGAUGUUUGGUCUGGGACCUAAGGUGUAGCAGUUUGGAACUUCUUGAACAAAUCUACAGUAGGCUGGGGAUGGUGUAACUUGGCCAGGGGCCUAAGAGAAGGUGAUGGAGGUUAUUUGUAAUUUCUCAAGGUUUCGAGAAACUAUCCCGCCAGUGGACAUUUGGUCUGGAAAAAGAAUUAAAAAUGCAUUAAGUGAUGAUUGGAAAUGUGUCGUGAGUUAUUGCAGCGGAAAAUAAAGUAAGUAAUCAGUAAAUUUUCAGGACUGGUGAUGAACUAGUGUGAGAGGGGUGUUUUCUUUUCUUUUUUUCUUUCUUUUUGUUCUCUGUCGGUAGAAGAUGGAUGAUGGAUGGAUGUUCUCUGUCUCUUUCACUUCUGUAUAACGAAGGUGAUUCUUUGCUGGCACUUCAGUAAGGGCUAACAACUCAUGACGACUCGUAGCGUUUGCUCUCUUUGCAAAGAUUUCCUUUUUUCUUGGAGUGAAAACCCACAAAGACAAGAUUAAUUCUGUCAGAAAAGGAUUUGCCAAAACGCACCCAACUCAGGUCAAGUAUCGUUGUCCCCUUUUUCCGCCCGUGUUUCGAAGCCACAUAAUUUGUCACCCAUUUCCACAUCUCGUUCCACGCCUGCGACCAAGUCACGGCCGUUCAAAUCUGCCCCCACGUCACAUCGUGCCGUGCCUAUUUCAUCACCUGGUCUCGUACCAGGCGUGUUUGUUACUUCACCUUCCCGAGUUCCAGUGCACUUUGCCCCUCGGCCUAAGGAAACCCAUGUGGUUUCCUUAGCUCCCUCCAGCCACUCGUCUCGGUGUUCCUCGUUGUCUCGUCAAUUUGUUUGUAUUUAGUUUCCUGCUUUCGAUCUGCCUGUGUCGCAAGUGCAGCAAGCCCUGUUCCCGCUCCCCCACCGGCCGCCACCCGACCCUGCUCCGGCGGCGCUCGUCCAGUGGCCGCCACCCGAACCUGGUCUGGCGACACUCUGUGCGACCGCCCCCUGACCCUUUAGUGGUCAAUAUUUUGGUUUCCUUGUUUCUAUUUUACUUUAAUUAUAGAUUUUUGGACUUUUAGAAUUGAGAUUUUUCCAUGUACCGUGUACUAGCGGAAAAAGCAAGUGUGUAACAGUCCCAGUGUGAGCCUAUUAAUAUUCUACCUUGUUCUCAGCUCCCCGGUGAGCGCUGGGAUUGAUCUCCUGUGGCUCGUCCAUCAUCGCUAUGGUACCAGCAGGCAUGCUGCUGUGCGGGUGACAGUCAGUUAACAUGUCUAUAUUUAUAUGCUGUACAGUAUAUAUAUCUUUUUUUUUUCAUCAAGUUCAAUACCAAAAGUCCAUUUAGUAAUAGUUGAGAGGUUUGUCUUGUCCAGCUCGUGUGGAAACAUUCAAAUUGCCUAAUGAAGUGUCCAGUUAAUUGGUGAACAGUGCAGUGGGCAUAAAAAGUCUACACAUCCCUGUUCGAAGUUUGUGUGUGUGUGUGAAAAGAUGAGACCAAGAAAAAUCAUUUCAAAAUGUUUUCCAGCAUUAAUGUGACCUAUAACCUAUAAAACUCUGCCUUUUUUUGGAGAGGGGUAGUAAAAUACAACUGAGAUGGAGGAAAAACCUCUGAACUUUAUUUGGGGUUAAUCAGAGGCACUUUAAGUGGGAGUUGUGCGUCCAUUUGAAUGUGAGCGACAUUUCCAGUUAUGAGGGUGUGCACUUCCCCUCACUUUUUCUCAUAAUAGGUCCCAUUGAAAAGAAAAAGGUAAAGAAAAUUUAUCUUUUUAUUUCCAAAUGCCUGAGGUUUUUAUGAAAAGUGACUCAUGAAUUUGAACGUUACAAUAUUUAAAAAAAUAAAUAAAAUGAAAAAAAAACAAAACUUCAAAAUAUUGCCACAUUCCUAUUUACAAAGUGACAUUAAAACACUGCCUGGUAAAUUUGGAAGAAAAAAAAAAAAAAGUACAGGGAAGAAAACAAGUUUUUAUACACAUGCUGCAAUGCACAAGUAGCAAUUAACAGAACUUUAGCCACACCAUCAAUUUUACAUACAACAAUUUUUUUUUUUUUCUCAUGUACAAUCAAAGCAAACCAAAGUCCUUUGGUGGAUGAUUCAGAGGGCCACCGAGGGCUGUAAAUGUGAUGGCUGUCUUGCCUGGCCCUUUUUUGUGGACAAACAAAACUGUACUUUCCGGACCAUUUACGAACAAACCAGAAAUGGGAAGUUGUAGUUUAAUUAUGGGGGCUAACAACAAGUUCUUUUAGGACAAGAGUCAAACACACAAACAGUUCUAUUUGUGUAAACAAUGUAUCAUCACUUGUGGACACAAGUACUGCACAUAAAUACUCUUGUUGGACUCUUUGCAUUGUUUAUUCACCUGCACAAAUGGAAUGACUGACACUGUCAUGCAUACUAGAUAAUUGAUUCAUAAUCUAAAGUUGUGCUUUAGAUUUUUAUGUGGACGUCAUAGUUUUAUACGGACCGUGUUCACAUUUUAUGUGUUUAUAACAAUGCUUGUAAAUAUCCGAAGUGGAAGGAGUUGAAUUAAAAUGUUGUGGGAAAGAUAUGCUUUGAAAGUGAAACACAAUUCAAACCAUCACUGUGCAGACAUUCAGCCUCUUCCAUUUGUGUUUCUUGUGAUGUAUUGCAGUGACGGAAAAGUGGUAUGAUAACCAGAAAGAGAUUAAAUUGUGGCACAGGAAAUGGUCUGGCUGCUGAGUACAAUAAGAGCAAUACAACAGAUCAAACUUCAAUUCAAUAAUUCUAAGAGCAUGUUCCUAAAAGCAAAAUGGCUUAAGACGAGCAAAGUUACUUCACACUUGUACGACGGUCAGGAAUGUUACAAUUUGGUUUACAAAUCACUUGUAAAUAAAACUCUUGCGAUGCUAACAGUUUAACGCUGAAACAAGUAAAUUCACUUUACAUCACAUUCUGUAUGGAAAAAUUAGAUUUAAAACUGGAAAUUGUUGCACCGUUUGUCCUUCAUUUCUAACAAACUUCAUAUGGGCCCAAAAUGACUUUUUAAAACUCGGUGUGUGGCUAGAAUUCCUUUUUAGUUGGAACAAAUUUGGUGGGAUGCAUUUUGAUCAUCUCCAACAGUGAAAUUUUCUUUGUAUUGGCGCUUCCUCAACUGUGCAGCUGUAACGAAUGGUUCUUGGAUUCAAUGAAAUGUGCCUAAUAACCUUCUCUCAGCACGAAUGCCCAUUAACAAAAUGUCACAGUUGUUUUUAAACACGCAGUAGUAACUUGUACUUCAUUUGACAUUUGCUAAUGAACUGAAACAUGAAACCAUCAUCACUUUUCCUCAGCAGAAGUGACGCUGAGAGUAGCACGACAUUGAAAGACGACCUUGCUCCCCCCAGCCAAAAACAGCCCACCCUGUGGUCUCUUCUGCUGCAUACCCGAGGCCUCACAAAACUCUCUUCUAGAAGACAGACGCACGCACGCACAAACGAUGAAAUCAAUGUGUUAACGGACUUGCUUGCGUCUUUGGUGAUUCUAUUGUUAGUGUUUUUCUCUUUUAUAGCAAAGGCAAUAAGGUGCUGAUUAUUUCAAGAUUUAUGAGCUCUUCCUAGUAUUUACGCUGAAGACACUUAACAGCAAGGCCUAUUGAGAAGCAAGGACAAAAUUUUAUUCAGUUUAGCUGGCAGCUGAAAAAGGACACAUUUAUUAGUCCACUGGCAGUAAUCCAGAGAGCAAUAAACCAAUUUUAAUCAGCCAACAAUGACCCUUGAUUAUGUUUUUAUUAUUUUAUAGUGGUACAGCCGAUUAUAAAUAGCUUCAAUUAUUGUAAGCAUCUUCCCUAAAGCUGGAUGACUAAUAGACACAUUACUGCACAUGUGCAAACACACAAACCUCUGUGUCAACAUGAGAGUGAAUGAUAACACCCAUGUCACCAGCUCAAUAGUUAUUGAAUUCAUGGAAAUAAACCAUUAACUGUUGAAUAAAUGAGUUGUUGUGGCAGCAAUUAAUUAAGCAUCUUCUAAUAUGCCAGGAUGAUGACAUCGUCGGUCCAUUAAAAGAUUAGAAGGGUUACAAUUGGAUGACAAGGGAGGAGUAGUGGUUCCCUCUUGUUCUUCACCCAGUUCCACAAUUUAAUUUUGUUUUUUCUUUAACUAGACAACGUUCAUUUUAUAGUGGGAGGCGUUUCCAUAAUACACUCAAAAGUCAUGACACGGUUUUGCUCAACUUUUAGUCCGAUGAGUCACAGGGCGGCUUCAUAUCCUCCCGAUGGAUGAAGUCAAGAGGUUUGAUCAUUCCGUGCUGUAGUUUUCUGCAACAUAACACUUGUUUUUAAUGUAUGAACACUUCUAUUACAUCCUUGUGCAUAUACAGUGGAAAUAAAAAGUCAACACACUCCUGUUUAAUUACCACAAUAUGCCUUUUCUAUGAAGACUAACACAAAUGCAGCUUUGGGCCUCCACAAUUCCUUUUUUUGGGUUCUUUUGCUAACGGUCCUACUUUGUCACUCAAGGUGUCUUUACUGUUAACGACGGUUUUGGAGGUACGAGGAUUCUGCCUGACGCCAGCGAUUUGCCUUUACGAUAAAUGGCUACGUUUUUGUUUUUUUGCCCAAUAUAUAUAUAUAUAUAUAUAUUUUUUUAAAUAGGACUUUAAGCAUGUCUUUUUCAACAUGGGAUACAUUUAUCCAUAUAAAACUAAGGUGGUGUAUUAAAAAAAAAUUGCAAAAUGCUGGUUAAAUUAUGUGAAAAUGACCUUUAAAAUUGCAUGCGUUCAUGUUUAUGAUGAUGACAGAUUGAGCCUGGAACAAAUGAAUUCGCUUGAAAUUAUUUUCUUCUGGAAAUUAUUUGGAAUUUAGAAUGCAUCGCAGAACUUUAAGAGAUUCAGAAAUAAAAUGUCCAAGCAGUGGACUUAAUGCUCCAAUGUCUCAACAUCUAACAAUGCUGUUGUAGCCAAUUAUGCGACUGCUAAAACUCUGUAUGGUACAUGCAGCCUAAAUCAUGCUGCUCCUGUAAUGUGUUGCACCGCAGCCAGGACGCCAUAGGGAGGCCUUUUGUGUCCACUGGCUCGUCUUCUAUUUUGCACUACAUUUCCACAUUUGACAUGUCUCUGGAGAUGUGCAGUUUAAAAAAAAUAAUAAUUAAAAAAUAUGGUCGUGGUUGUGCAACCAGGUCCACACUCAAGCUGAAAUUCAUAAACCGCUGACAUCGUUGCAAUGAUGUCAUGUUUCCCAACGUAGAAUCAAUGGAGCAACUUGCCUGAAAAGUCUUGUUUUUUUGGGGGGGGCAAAAUUCUUUUAAAAUAAAUAAAUAAAAUCUGUUUGCAAUAGAACUUUCUGUUUAUGAUUUUUAGAAACCGAUUUCUCCUGUAUAAUAUCAAAAGUUAGGCCCUUUGAAAGCCAGUUACAGCGUUUGAAUGUUUCACUGUUUAGAGCUUUGUGCAAAAAGCACCAUUAUACUUGUUGUUUUAGCAAUUCUAUCAAGACCAUACAUGUGAAGAGUGUCAAAAAUUGUGGAGAGGUGUUCAUUUGUCCAUCUGUUUAUUAGGAUUAAUGCUAAAAGAAUUCCACCUACAUAUAUCUUCAACAAUUAGUGUCCUCAGUUCCCAAAUGCUUUUAUUGAGUGUUGCUAAAAGGAAAGGCGACGUAAUGCAGUGGUAAACAUGUCCCCGUCCCAGCUUUUUUGGAACGUGUUGCAGCCACGUUGUUGGUUUAUUCUUGUGAUUUAGAUGAAGAUCGGACUACAUUUGAUGACCAAUUUAAGCAUAAAUGUAAGAAAUUCCAAAUUUCCCUCCCAUUGUUUAUACGUUUUGGGGUAACCCGUCUUUUUCUGCUGUUGCAGCAGCAGUAAUGUAAGACUGACGUAUGCUUUAUUGUUAUCCAUCGGCCUUUGUAGCCUAACACAAUUGAGCAUUUGGUAACCAAAAAUACAUCAGACUGCAGACAUUGCACAGUAAAAGUAGUAGGUGUGUUUUUCAACCUUCAAUGUAAACGCACACAUUUUGGGUGCCAAUUUGUACUUUGCAUUCACUCACACACACCAAAAGGAUGUUUGACAGGACCUUACUGUAUUUUUUCAGAGAAAGGUUAAUUUCAAUGAGAUAGCUGCUAGGUUAUCUGUGUGUAUUUGAUAAAUGAACUGUGGAUAGUCCAUUUGACAGUGUAUAUAGAUCCUUUGUAUGUCUCUUGCUGCUCAUUAAAAGGCUCCAACCUGAUUUAAAGCAGAGCAGUGGUGAAUAAAAAAAUAUAGUCCCGCUAGGCCUGACGAUGAUAACCUGUAAUUGGGAUCAAUUUGAGGUAAUGUGCUUGAAGGAGCACCACAAGGCAAAUCCAUUAAUGGAACGCUGUCAUUUUGCUCACUUUUUCGAUCUACCUUUCCUGCUGAUGUGGAAACUAAAAAAAACGUCUGCUUCUUCCUCUCGGGACAGAGAAAGCGAGGUGUCAGGACACUAUCUCCCAACGCCAUCUGAGGCCACAGGAACUGGGCUUAACUCCCAAAAUGACUGGGGCCCUUGUGGACCAAACAGAGGUCAGAAUGUUCUCAGCUGUCAAGUUGUAAUACAGCAAAGGAGACUCGGACAAACCCGUUUUUUAGGGCAGAAUGUUCUUCACCCAUUCAUUCAUUCAUUCAUUUUCAAUGCUGCUGACUGAAUGGGGCCGAAGGGGAGUUGGAGCCAAUCCCAGCUGACUUUGGGCGAGAGGUAAGGUACACCCCGGACUGGUCGCCAACCAAUACACACUCGCACCCACGCAAAUACUGGGAGAACAUACCAAGUCCACACAGGAAAGCCGGAGCCCGGAUUGGAACCCACGACCCCUGAACUCUGACGAGGAUGCAGAACGUUUCUAACCUUUUUAAUAUUGAUUAAUAUUGUUAUUGCUUAAUAUAGUAUCUUAAUUUGGCUGUAGUUUGAAAUUGAGAGGAUUGCACUGCAUGUUACUGUUUGUAAUAUUUUCAUGUAACCAAAUAAAGUCACCAAUAUACAGUAUUUCAACACCUCUCAC